UACGUAGGGGGCAAGCGUUGUCCGGAAUCAUUGGGCGUAAAGCGCGCGUAGGCGGCCCGGUAAGUCCGUUGUGAAAGUCAAAGGCUCAACCUUUGAAUGCCGACGGAUACUGCCGGGCUAGAGUCCGGAAGAGGCGAGUGGAAUUCCUGGUGUAGCGGUGGAAUGCGCAGAUAUCAGGAAGAACACCCGUGGCGAAAGCGGCUCUCUGGGACGGUACUGACGCUGAGGCGCGAAAGCGUGGGGAGCGAACAGG
rnacentral:rRNA from 1 species